UACAUGGGGAGCAAGCGUUAUCCGGAAUGAUUGGGCGUAAAGCGUCUGUAGGUGGUCCAACAAGUCUAAUGUUAAAUACGAUUGGCUUAACCAACGAGAGGCGUUAGAGUACUGUUGGACUAGAGUGCGGGAGAGGUAGAGGGAAUCCCUAGCGUAACAGUGAAAUGUGUAGAUUUUAGGGAGAACACCAGCGGCGAAGGCGCUCUACUGGACCGAGACUGACACUGAGAGACGAAAGCUAGGGGAGCGAAUAGG
rnacentral:rRNA from 1 species